GGAGGGACUGUGGCUCAGUGGAAGAACCUGUGCUUGGCAUGCAGAAGGUCCCAGGUUCAAUCCCUGCCAUCUCCA
rnacentral:tRNA from 1 species